rnacentral:rRNA from 1 species
UGGGGAAUUUUGGACAAUGGGCGCAAGCCUGAUCCAGCCAUGCCGCGUGUGGGAAGAAGGCCUUCGGGUUGUAAACCACUUUUGUCAGGGAAGAAACGGCUCUUACUAAUAUUAGGAGCUAAUGACGGUACCUGAAGAAUAAGCACCGGCUAACUACGUGCCAGCAGCCGCGGUAAUACGUAGGGUGCAAGCGUUAAUCGGAAUUACUGGGCGUAAAGCGUGCGCAGGCGGCUUUGCAAGACAGAUGUGAAAUCCCCGGGCUCAACCUGGGAACUGCAUUUGUGACUGCAAGGCUAGAGUACGGUAGAGGGGGAUGGAAUUCCGCGUGUAGCAGUGAAAUGCGUAGAUAUGCGGAGGAACACCGAUGGCGAAGGCAAUCCCCUGGACCUGUACUGACGCUCAUGCACGAAAGCGUGGCGAGCAAACAGGAUUAGAUACCCCCGUAGUCCCUGAGCGGGCUGGCAAGGCGCAU